UAAAUAAAGGCAACAGUAGUAUACCGCUGUUCAAAACUCAUAAAUCCAUGGACAAAAAACUAAAUCGGGGUAACAAACUAAAACCGAGGGAAACGCAUUAAAUAUAAGAGGAGAACAACGACACAACACUAAAAUUUAACACACACAGAAACGGACCAAGCAUCAGACAAAAUCCUACGAGAAUAACAAAUAUAACAUCAAAACCAUACAUAAUGGGAAUUUAGAGACAAGUACCGUGACACGUCUUAUCGCAAUGUGAAUUUACACUUAAAAAUAAGAGAAAACAAACGACGCAACGUUAAAAUGUAACACAC
rnacentral:lncRNA from 1 species